ACAUCAGCAAGUUUCUUCAUAACCAAGUUGAGAUCAACAUGACUGGAACUCUCUUAUGCAUAGUGUUGUUCAUUUUGCUCAAAGGUUCAUGUAAGGGUGUGUUGAUCACUCAGUGGCCUAAAUACAUCACCAGCCUUAAAAACACCCCAGUGGACAUGCACUGUUACCAGAAUGACACAGAUUAUGACUACACUUAUUGGUACAGACAAAUCGGCAAUGAGCUAGUGCUUAUAACCAGAUCUGUAGGUGGCAGCUACAUCCAGGAGAAGGGGUAUGAAAAUGGCUUUAAAGCCUCAGGAACAAAGAAGAAGUGGUCCUUGACAGUGGAUGUUAAAGAGGACAGUGAUGCUGUUUACCUAUGUGCUGCUAGUUUCCACAGUGUAUAAAUGCUGAUAAUUUGUGUUACAAAAACAUAUU